rnacentral:rRNA from 1 species
UACGUAGGGUGCAAGCGUUGUCCGGAAUUAUUGGGCGUAAAGGGCUCGUAGGCGGUCCAUCAAGUCGGGAGUGAAAAGCUGGGGCUUAACCCCAGUCCUGCUUCCGAUACGGGUGGACUAGAGGUAGGCAGGGGAGAACGGAAUUCCUGGUGUAGCGGUGUAAUGCGCAGAUAUCAGGAGGAACACCGAUGGCGAAGGCAGGUCUCUGGGCCACUACUGACGCUGAGAAGCGAAAGCAUGGGGAGCGAACAGG